GAUAAUUGAUUCUCCCGUUUAAAUCUAUCAUUUGCUGCUCCCCCUGUUCAUCCCGAGAAAAUCUGGUCUUCCAAUCUUCAUUUCCUCAAUGAGCAUGGUGUUUCUGUCUUUCUGUAAAAACAAUAAACCCCUAAAGCAUAUCCUACAGCGAAUGCCCGCCCAGUUGAUGGUUUGUCUCUGAGUUUAUUGUGAUGGCUGUCGGUGCUGAGCCUCUAGAUAUUCUUCUGCAUCUUCCCCUGCCUGCUGAUGACAAGGCUGAGCCAUGUUUCUCUUAAUUGUUUAAGGUGAUAACAUGUGCUUUUCAAUUUGUCUGAAUGCACCCUAUGUAUUUGCUCCUUCAAAGCAAGCGCUUGGUUGGGCAUGUGGAGUCAUAAGGCCUGUCAUUGCUGCUUCAGCAACCUCAAAUGAUGGAAGCCAUUUUGAAAGCUAAAUUCAACAACUCAAGGUACUUUCAUGUAAGCAACUAUGUGCGUUUAUGUUUGUGAGAUACACGAUGCCAUUUAAAAGAUGUUAAUAUGGUGUAUUAUCAAACUUGUACUCAGUUUGAUGGGUCUCUAGGAUUGUGCUAAUAUUACACCUUUAGGGGCUUUGAUGUACCACUAAAAGAUGAAGCAUUCUGGUCUUGACAUAUAUAGGAUUUUAUACUUAACCCUAUUUGGAAUGUGCAGAAGAAUUCUUCUGGAAGUAAAA